UCUGACGGAGCAACGCCGCGUGAGUGAUGAAGGUUUUCGGAUCGUAAAGCUCUGUUGUUAGGGAAGAACAAGUGCCGUUCGAAUAGGGCGGCACCUUGACGGUACCUAACCAGAAAGCCCCGGCUAACUACGUGCCAGCAGCCGCGGUAAUACGUAGGGGGCAAGCGUUGUCCGGAAUUAUUGGGCGUAAAGCGCGCGCAGGCGGUCCUUUAAGUCUGAUGUGAAAGCCCACGGCUCAACCGUGGAGGGUCAUUGGAAACUGGAGGACUUGAGUACAGAAGAGGAGAGUGGAAUUCCACGUGUAGCGGUGAAAUGCGUAGAGAUGUGGAGGAACACCAGUGGCGAAGGCGACUCUCUGGUCUGUAACUGACGCUGAGGCGCGAAAGCGUGGGGAGCGAACAGGAUUAGAUACCCUGGUAGUCCACGCCGUAAACGAUGAGUGCUAGGUGUUAGGGGGUUUCCGCCCCUUAGUGCUGAAGUUAACGCAUUAAGCACUCCGCCUGGGGAGUACGGCCGCAAGGCUGAAACUCAAAAGAAUUGACGGGGGCCCGCACAAGCGGUGGAGCAUGUGGUUUAAUUCGACGCAACGCGAAGAACCUUACCAGGUCUUGACAUCCUCUGCAAUCGGUAGAGAUACCGAGUUCCCUUCGGGGACAGAGUGACAGGUGGUGCAUGGUUGUCGUCAGCUCGUGUCGUGAGAUGUUGGGUUAAGUCCCGCAACGAGCGCAACCCUUGAUCUUAGUUGCCAGCAUUUAGUUGGGCACUCUAAGGUGACUGCCGGUGA
rnacentral:rRNA from 1 species